ensembl:lncRNA
GAGAGCUUUGGGACAAAACUAUCACUCAUACAAUUUAUAUUAGGAAUACAUAAAAAAGAGUGCACGAGCUUGCAAAACUCAAAUAUACUCUAAAAAAUCCUGGGUUAUCAUGAAAAUGCGUAUAAAUAGUAGCCUACGCCGAAUAAAAAUAAAACUCGUGGUACUGAUAAGAAAAAAAUGGUUUUUGGUGUGUAUGCUGUGAGGAGCAUUCUGCGGGCACAGUUUUCAAGAGGAAUACUUCAGCUGCAAAAGCAGGAGGCGCUGUAUUCCUGUAACACACUGCGAGAGGAUCGUCCAGCAGGACCACAGGUGCACCUCAGGUCUUUCCAGCUGUGAUGCGGCGGUGACUGCAGUGAUGUUUGUGUGUAUUUGGUUGAUAAAAGCAGCGUUUUGUGAUGGUUUGGUGACCUCACCCUCUGCAGACAAACACUGCGGCCGUCAAACGGACGUCUGAUCGAUGCACGGGAGAAAAGAGAGAAACAUGAUGAUGAGUGGAUCUCACGAAAACACGUCCAAGACACAGCUCACCCUGAAAUCAAAAAGAAA